rnacentral:rRNA from 1 species
CAGGCUUAACACAUGCAAGUCGAGGGGCAGCAUGGUCUUAGCUUGCUAAGGCCGAUGGCGACCGGCGCACGGGUGAGUAACACGUAUCCAACCUGCCGUCUACUCUUGGACAGCCUUCUGAAAGGAAGAUUAAUACAAGAUGGCAUCAUGAGUCCACAUGUUCACAUGAUUAAAGGUAUUCCGGUAGACGAUGGGGAUGCGUUCCAUUAGAUAGUAGGCGGGGUAACGGCCCACCUAGUCUUCGAUGGAUAGGGGUUCUGAGAGGAAGGUCCCCCACAUUGGAACUGAGACACGGUCCAAACUCCUACGGGAGGCAGCAGUGAGGAAUAUUGGUCAAUGGGCGAGAGCCUGAACCAGCCAAGUAGCGUGAAGGAUGACUGCCCUAUGGGUUGUAAACUUCUUUUAUAAAGGAAUAAAGUCGGGUAUGGAUACCCGUUUGCAUGUACUUUAUGAAUAAGGAUCGGCUAACUCCGUGCCAGCAGCCGCGGUAAUACGGAGGAUCCGAGCGUUAUCCGGAUUUAUUGGGUUUAAAGGGAGCGUAGAUGGAUGUUUAAGUCAGUUGUGAAAGUUUGCGGCUCAACCGUAAAAUUGCAGUUGAUACUGGAUAUCUUGAGUGCAGUUGAGGCAGGCGGAAUUCGUGGUGUAGCGGUGAAAUGCUUAGAUAUCACGAAGAACUCCGAUUGCGAAGGCAGCCUGCUAAGCUGCAACUGACAUUGAGGCUCGAAAGUGUGGGUAUCAAACAGGAUUAGAUACCCUGGUAGUCCACACGGUAAACGAUGAAUACUCGCUGUUUGCGAUAUACAGCAAGCGGCCAAGCGAAAGCGUUAAGUAUUCCACCUGGGGAGUACGCCGGCAACGGUGAAACUCAAAGGAAUUGACGGGGGCCCGCACAAGCGGAGGAACAUGUGGUUUAAUUCGAUGAUACGCGAGGAACCUUACCCGGGCUUAAAUUGCAGAUGAAUUACGGUGAAAGCCGUAAGCCGCAAGGCAUCUGUGAAGGUGCUGCAUGGUUGUCGUCAGCUCGUGCCGUGAGGUGUCGGCUUAAGUGCCAUAACGAGCGCAACCCUUGUUGUCAGUUACUAACAGGUUCCGCUGAGGACUCUGACAAGACUGCCAUCGUAAGAUGUGAGGAAGGUGGGGAUGACGUCAAAUCAGCACGGCCCUUACGUCCGGGGCUACACACGUGUUACAAUGGGGGGUACAGAGGGCCGCUACCACGCGAGUGGAUGCCAAUCCCAAAAACCUCUCUCAGUUCGGACUGGAGUCUGCAACCCGACUCCACGAAGCUGGAUUCGCUAGUAAUCGCGCAUCAGCCACGGCGCGGUGAAUACGUUCCCGGGCCUUGUACACACCGCCCGUCAAGCCAUGGGAGCCGGGGGUACCUGAAGUGCGUAACCGCGAGGAGCGCCCUAGGGUAAAACUGGUGACUGG